UGCCGCUCAGGAGAGGACCUUUUCAGCUCUCGAGCCGCAAUCAUCUAGUUCAUUUUUGAGCUCUAAUAGCGGGCCGAAUUAAGUCAUUAAGUUCAUGAUUCCCCUGGCAAAUAACGCGCAUGCAAAUGUGUGUAUACCUCCUAGUUGGUCAUGACGAUAAACUCGCCUUGAUUUGCUUGAUUGAGGUCUAUAGUUGUCUCUACCUUAAUUUGACAAGCUUUUCGUUCGCAUUUCGUAAUGGCUGGAUGAGCACGCCUAUAAGAACAGCGGCAUGAUCCCCCUGGUUCUCCAGUAAGCAGUCGACCAGCACCGGCAAGCGACUCAAUAAGCCCAAGUACAACCUGCAGCAGAAAAAAUCGUCAAGGAGGAGCUCAAAGUCAUCAGCUAAUCAACAGUCUUUGGUAAUCCGGCAUCCGUCGGAGGUGAUCCUCUGUUAUCAUUUGUCUUAGCUGGACAUCGUUGACGAAUGUUUCUACGACAUCUAGACGUAGCCUAUUAAUCCUGUCUAUUAUAGAGGUUGUUUGAUCCAAUGAGACAACAGUUGCUGCCCACCCGAAGUUCGACACUUGUUGAGCAGGGCAGCGAUUGUACGAGGAGCUCCAGCUUUGGACGUCACCACGGUGGAGACUUCAGCUCCGUACGAAGUCAGAUGCAAGGCGGCGGAUACUGCCGAAUCAAGUCUCAUCAGUCCAUGCCAGUUCAGAAUUGUUUUCGGCGCAACGUAGGCUUCCAUGUGGAAUCAAAACCUCCUGCGGGACUUACUUGAAAUUGGAGAGACCUGUCACUUUUGGAUCCAUUGUAGAUUUCAAUGCAGUAGUGCUUGCUGACUACAUCACAUGCAAAGUUCUCAAAGUGACUUUUGUUAAAG